CUUGGUUUAGAUCAGUGGGGAAACCACCAACCUGGAUGAAAGUUGGCCUAUUGUAAGAAGAAGCACUUAAUCUCCUCAGAGAAGGGGCUUCAGAAUUUGCUCUACCAACACUUGACUGAAACAUCUGUGUAUUUUUGGAUGUGUUUUCUGUCCAAACUGUUGGUUGAAAUACAGGAGACCAUUUUCUAGUAUGCUAUGAAUGAGAAAUACUCCAGAUGAAAGAAGAUUAUUAUACUUGCCUUCAGGCUCGGAGAAUAGAUUGCUGCUAAACCUAGUGAAGACUCCCCCUGUUAAUCCUUCAGACCUGGAUGUAAGAAGCUCACAAGAACAUGAACCAGAAUGCUACAAAUUUUAUCUUCUUUAUAGGUCUGUUAUAUGGCUUAUCCAGCAGAAGUUCUUCUGUAUAAAGCAAGCAAAUGAAAUGCAGACUUCUGCUGUUACACCACACUGGUACCCUUAUAAGGUCACUUAAUAGGUAACAGAAAACAUUUUGACAGUCACAGAUUAUUUCCAUUGGAAAAGCAGCACUUGUUGUAAGAUAAGGUUGUAGUUCAGAACCAGACUCCUCUAGACAGGAAGAAACUAAGCCAAAUCUAAAAGAGAACUACAAAAUUCAGUGAAAUCCACAAGGUGACAUUAAAGGAAUUGUUAUAUUUUUAUGAUUUUGCUUCUUAAUUUGCAUGGUGAUGGGUAUGAAGUGACAAAAAUCCCAACUUACUAUCUGUUCUGCCUCUCCCUUGAUGAAUUUAUGCACGUAGGAUAAAUGUAGACUUAGCAUAACAAUAAUGCCACUAUUCUUUCCCAUGUCCCAGGUCUAAAAUUCCAGCAAAAUUGCACAGGAAUUUCACAAGAUAGGAUUUUUGGAUUUGACCAUUUCAUUGUGUCCAUAUUUAUAGCUGAAUUGUAUUUUUUUUCCAAAAAAGUGUAACACAAAUUAUUACAAAAUGGAAACAAAGCAGUAAUCUGUUGUAUUGUUGCUACUCUAGAGCACACCCACUAGUUUUUCCUUAUGAGCUAGUCCUUUUGAGUUUUUACAACAUAUUUCCACUAAGCACAUCUAUUGCUGCUGAAUCUAUCUUUGAUGUUACUGGAAUUCUUCACAUUAAAUGAGUCAAAGUUUCAAAGCUGUAGUUACCUGUGGAGACUGGUACAAUUCAUUUCAUACAUUUACUGCUCAUUAGCACGUGUAUGAAGCAGUUUCUUGCACCUUGUAUAUCUGUAAUGAAUAUUAAACCAUCUCAUCUACUCAUAAUAAUAUAAUAGCUCCUGUGAUGACAGACUCUGUUUGCACAGGAAGCAGAUGUUGAUGUUUACCUAGAUGUAAUUUGCAAUGAUGAGUGGUGGUGAGAUGAGGUUUUUUCCUGCCAAAACAAUUCAGUCUAUGUUAAGCUUCUGCAAAAUCUUUUGCAUGCCAUUGUGGACUCUUAGGUCAUUAUAGAUAUCCAUAUUAUCACAUAUUAUCACCUUGAAUAAUUGUGGAUCUUAAUUUUAAUAUUAAUCAAGAUAUUAAAUUAUGCAUAUAAGAAAACUGUUUAGUUAAAGAGGUAUUUACCAAGUCGCUGUAAUGUGAUGUCCAGGAAAAGUUCUGGGUAAACUUCAAACCAAAGAUGAAAAUAGUAUUUUUCAGGGUCAUAAAUGUAUUUCUGACAAAUAAAUAUGGUAUAAAUUAUUCAAAAAGAGUGUCACUGUCUAGAAAAUGAGAUCAGUAACUCCUAAGGUUGAAAUAAAACACAUUUAUUUUGGUAGAGGUGUGCCAUACACUACAGUGAAUUACAAAAGGAUGAUAUGAAUUUUGAUCAUUUGGAACCUUUAAAUCCAGGUUUAAAAUUUUUCUAAAAGAUACUUUUUUGUUCAAUUUAACAAAAAUUAAUGAAUGAUAUUUUCUAACCUGUGGUAUGCCAGAGGUAAAAAGAGUGAUAUUGGGAUUUCUUUUGGUUUUAGUAUCUGUAAAAUCUAUUAUAUAAUGAAAUAUAAUCAGAUAACCACAUCUAUUUUGGUUCUGAAUUCUAGAUAUAUUUUUUUUACUUUCGGACAUAAUUUACUACUUUAGACAAAUAAUUCUAAUUUUGAAUUUGGAGCUGUUGUUCCCUAUGUCCAGUUCUUCUGUCAGCUCUUUCUAAUCCUAAAACAUGUUCCUCAUUUUUAUGCUCAUAUUUGAAAUUUGGGACAUAACACUUUUUUGAUGAACAUUAAUUUAUCCUAUGAGUUUCAGGCCCACUUCUCUGAACCUCCUCUCUUAUUGUCAUCAUAUUGCAGGUACUUGAUUUUUUUGUCACUUCUUGGAAUCUUGAAAUUAGGUCUUAAUGAAAUUCAUAGUCAGACAUAAAUCUGUAACUGUAAUAAUCAUGUCAGUGCUAUACACAGCUUCACAAGUCACCACUCAUUUCUGAAAAUAUUCUGUCUUGAACAGAAAAAUGUGGAAGGCAUGUCCAGAAGCAAUAUUUUCCUUUGUUGUUUCCUAAAUCAUACCAUUGGCUCCAGAGACAAUAAAA